AGAGUUUGAUCCUGGCUCAGAAUCAACGCUGGCGGCGUGCCUAACACAUGCAAGUCGAACGAGAAAGGGGAGCAAUCCCUGAGUAAAGUGGCGCACGGGUGAGUAACACGUGACUAACCUACCCUGGAGUGGGGGAUAACUGAGGGAAACCUUAGCUAAUACCGCAUAAUACCCACGGGUCAAAGGAGCAAUUCGCUCCAGGAGGGGGUCGCGGCCGAUUAGCUAGUUGGCGGGGUAACGGCCCACCAAGACGAUGAUCGGUAUCCGGCCUGAGAGGGCGCACGGACACACUGGAACUGAAACACGGUCCAGACUCCUACGGGAGGCAGCAGUGGGGAAUUUUGCGCAAUGGGGGAAACCCUGACGCAGCAACGCCGCGUGGAGGAUGAAGUCCUUCGGGACGUAAACUCCUUUCGAUCGGGACGAUUAUGACGGUACCGGAAGAAGAAGCCCCGGCUAACUUCGUGCCAGCAGCCGCGGUAAUACGAGGGGGGCGAGCGUUGUUCGGAAUUAUUGGGCGUAAAGGGUGCGUAGGCGGUUUGGUAAGUCUUGUGUGAAAUCUACAGGCUCAACUUGUAGUCUGCACGAGAAACUGCCGGGCUUGAGUGUGGGAGAGGUGAGUGGAAUUUCCGGUGUAGCGGUGAAAUGCGUAGAUAUCGGAAGGAACACCUGUGGCGAAAGCGGCUCACUGGACCACAACUGACGCUGAUGCACGAAAGCUAGGGGAGCAAACAGGAUUAGAUACCCUGGUAGUCCUAGCCCUAAACGAUGACUGCUUGGUGUGACGGGUACCCAAUCCCGCCGUGCCGUAGCUAACGCGUUAAGCAGUCCGCCUGGGGAGUACGGUCGCAAGGCUGAAACUCAAAGGAAUUGACGGGGCCCGCACAAGCGGUGGAGCAUGGUGGUUUAAUUCGACCGCAACGCGAAGA
rnacentral:rRNA from 1 species